GCCAGGCGUGGUGGCUCACACCUGUAAUCCCAGCACUUGGGGAGGCUGAGGCGGGUGGAUCACUUGAGGCCAGGAGUUUGAGACCAGCCUGGCCAACAUGGCGAAACAUUGUCUGUACUAAAAAUACAAAAAUUAGCUGGGUGUGUUGGUGCAUACCUGUAAGCCCAGCUACUCAGGAGGCUAAAUCAGGAGAAUCGCUUGAACCUGAGAGGCAGAGGUUGCAGUGAACCAAGAUCAUACCACUGUACUCCAGCCUGGGCAACAGAGUGAGACUCUGUUUCA
ensembl:misc_RNA Metazoa_SRP Metazoan signal recognition particle RNA